rnacentral:lncRNA from 1 species
UUGGGUUUCAUUUUGUAGUAAAGUACCCUAUGAUCAUCUUUUGUACAUGAUGGUAAAUGAUGUAAAGAAAAGAAUGUAAUGUGUAUUUUGAGGUAAAUGUGAUGUAAGAAAGAAAUGAUGAAAUGAAAUGUAAGGAAUUCGAAAAUGAACAAAAUGAAUGCAAUGUAUAUGAUAAAAAAUGAAUCAUAGUACAAGUGAAUGUUUAGUUUCCUUUUUCUUUCACUAAUGGCUAUUGCUUACCCUCGUGUAAGCCGUUUGUGUAUGUUUCCGCUAGUGCUUUUCUCUAUUGAUGAAAAUGUACAUGUGAUGAGCCUUGGGCGGAUAGGGGAAACUCUGUCCGUUCGGCGUCUGUUUGACGUGCUCGGGUCGGGCCAAAUUGGCAUCGGUCUGUG